GUAGUUGUAGGCGACAAUAUAAAUCUUAAUUGAAUCGCAAUACAGUUGAACUAAUAUGGUUUUAAGGAGUUAUCUGCGUCUGAUUCUUUUUAGUCCUGAAUCUAAUUUGAAUCUGUGUAGGCUAUGAGCCGCCUUUUUACCAGGAAGUUGUAUGGAGCCGACAACGGUUGAAAUGUGGCAUUUGCUCCACUGCUCUGGUCUUAUCCGGUGAGUGGAGUGUUUGGGUCAGGUCAGCCGCGUACUGUGUGGAGCUUCGUGUGCGCUUUAUCGACAAUAAAGUUACAUUUGACGCCUUCAUUAUUUCACCAACGAAGGUACCUGAUGGAAAAUAGCCGAUUGAAUAGAGACCUGAGGCCAUGUUUCAGAUGAUUCUACUGAGAUGGGCUUUUCCUCUAGGUGAUUCUGAUCUAGACGGGUCCUGUGGAAGUGAAGAAAGUGGUAGAGGAGGAGAAGCAGGAGACUUAUCAUUCUGACUCUAUUCUGGAUCUAUGGACUGUAGACAAACCCCAUUUGUCUUACGUCAGACAGUGCGACUCAUUCCACAUUUGUUUGAACUAACGUCGUACAGGAGGAGUUUUGCGUAGGAGUGACGCCACCUGUUGGACUCAGAAAAGAAGACAAUGGCCGUGUGUGUGUGUCAGUGGUGUCCGGCUGGCUCUGCUGUCGUCUAGGCUCUGAUGGCAGAUGUUCCCUCUGGACUACUGGAGGCUUGUGUGGUGGUUGGAGCAGUCAGCAGUACACUCAGGGAACUCUAUCAGUCACACCAGCAGGGUCAAAUCAAAGAGCUCCCCCUGUUGGAGACGGAGGUACUGCAGGUGCACGCCCCACCCUUUGUGACCAAAGAGAGUGUGAGUAGCGAGACCAAGGGUCAGGGUCACGCCCGGC